UACGAGUGCCCCAAGCGUUAUCCGGAAUCAUUGGGCGUAAAGGGUGUGUAGGUGGUCGUAUUAGUCUUGUGUUAAAUUCUUUGGCUUAACCAAAGACAUGCAUAGGAAACGGUACGACUAGAAGAUGCGAGGGGUGAAUGGAACUCAUAGUGGAGGGGUGAAAUUCGUAGAUAUUCGCAAGAACACCAGUGGCGAAGGCGGCUCACUGGCCCGGUACUGACGCUGAGGUGCGAAAGCGUGGGGAGCAAACAGG
rnacentral:rRNA from 1 species